CUUUUCUCGGAGACAGACAUAAGUAGAACAUCGCUGCAGAUGCUCACGGAAAGGCCGAGGGGGACGGCAAGAUGCACAUCACCCUCUGUGACUUCAUCGUGCCCUGGGACACCCUGAGCACCACCCAGAAGAAGAGCCUGAACCACAGGUACCAGAUGGGCUGCGAGUGCAAGGUAAGCAGGUCCUGCCUCUGCUGGAGCAUCGCCUCCUCCCAGUGUCUCCAGAUGGACGGCAGGGAUUUUGAUCCCUGGCUUUCCAGGACCCGUUAAUCCCCGGCUCCUGAUCUAAGACCAGGCUCUGGGAAGGUAGAGUCAUCCCAAGAGUAAGGCUGUCUGGCUGGGGACAGAGCCUUUGACCCCUGGUCCCUGGAGAGCCCUGAGGCACAUCUCUGACAGGGGAUGUCUGGAGGCCGGGCGCUGCGGCUCACGCCUGUAAUCCCGGCACUUUGGGAGGCCGAGAUAGGUGGGUCACUUGAGGUCGGGAGUUGGAAAUCAGCCUCACCAACAUGGCGAAACCCUGUCUCUACAAAAAUACAAAAAUUAGCCAGGUGAGGUGGUGCACGCCUGUGAUCCCAGCAACUUGGGAGGAUGAGGCUUAAGAAUUGCUUGAAUGUGGGAGGUGGAGGUUGCAGUGAGUUGAGAUCACACCACUGCACCCCAGCCUGGGUUGACAGAGUGAGACUCUGUCCCAAAAAAAAAAGAGGGAGAUGUCUGGAAGGCUAGGAGAUUUGAGAGUAAGAGCAUGAAUUCAGCUCUGUUACCUGUAGCUUCCAGAAAAAGGAGCUGUAUGGGGAGAGAGAAUAUGGUCCCAUGGAGAAUUUUCUACAAAUGUGCAAGUGCAAACGCCUGUGUGGCUUAUGAGAAGGCACUGCAGGCCUUACGCUGUUUCCAACAUUCCCGACAUUUUCACACCUGGGUUGGUGUCUAUGUGGGGUCUGUGUGUUGAGAAUACCUGAACACCUGCUCCUCUUAAAAUGAGCCCGGAGGUUGUGCCAGGCACAGCUGGAGCAGUGCAGCGCCUAGAUGUGGCUGUGGAAGGUGAGAUUACCGCCUCCAGGGCUCCCAGGCUGGCUCCUACCCUGUGGGCUCCUAGCACCCUAUCCCCACCCUCCCUGCAGGAAGCAUGGCUGAGUGCUGGGCACCUCCCACCCUGGGUCACUCCCAGUGAGUCUGGGACCAGGAGACUCUGGUGAGGCUGUGGGGAUUGGCCUUCCCUGGGGAGCUGCCUGGGGCUGCCCUCCCUCCUGACGGCCCCCAGCCCCUUCUCCGCAUGUUCAAAACAGGAAUUCUGAACUCAUAGUCUCCAGCCACACGUAUGUUAAGCGAAACUCCUCUGUGCCCAGCAUGAAAUCAAAAGCAAGUUUUUCCUUUUUCUUUCCACGGUGGUGAAGGCGGUCAUCCUCUUGUAGCCUAGGGUUCCUUGGCCAAAUUGCUAGUUGCCGAUGACCUCGGGGCUCGGCUUGCGAGCAACACUGGGCUGGAAUCUGUCUCCAGGAAACCCAGGCCCUUUUAUUGUUGCUGUGUCCCCCAGAGGGCAGGGCCAAGCUGAGGCCAUUCUGUCAUGCUCAGGAAGGUAGAAGAUGGCCCAAAGGGAAGCACACCUGCAGUAGGAGGGGGGGCAGCGGUGGGCAGGGCACAGCUUCCCUGCAGGUUAGACCCCCUCGCAGGCCAGCUGCCUGCCCCUGCAGGAACCGUGGGUCUCGGGAGAGGCUGCCAUCCCUGCACAUGACAGGUAGGCACAUUGCCGGGUUCUGGACAUGCCCCCAGAGCAGC
rnacentral:lncRNA from 10 species